CUUAAAAUAAAUCUUUUCCUCCUUAGGAACGAAUGAUCACACACUUUGAAAGGUCAAAGAUGGAGUAAAUAAUGGGAAACUGCCAUAGAAGAUGGCUUGUAUCAGGGAAGAGACAGCUUGCGUGUCAGUCUUCUGCACUGCUCCGUGGGAUUAAAGGAGGCAAUGACAUCUGUUCCUGAUCUCUGUGCAUGGGAGCUGGGGAGAGGUGUCAGCCAAGGAGAGCAGCUUACUGAAACAUAUCCACGGGAUGAGAAAAACCUACCGGCUUCUUUACAUCAUCGACACCCUUUCCCUCCCAACCCCAUCAACAGCUGUUUUUGCAAGCUACAUGUUGUCCCUGAACUUUCUAUUCCAUUGUUUAAUCUGUCAAACUAGGAAGUUUAAAGUUUAUGAAAGGACUGUGUCAUUUACACCAUAAUUUGUCAUCUCUAGGAGCAACUGCCUGUGAUUUUAUUUAUUUAGGAAGUUGGUAAUGGGAGAAAUUAUCAUUUAUUUUUGAGUUUCCUGAGAAGUCAAGAUUACAUCUUGCAGAAGUAGUUUGUGGGGAAUAGGCCCUUUUGAGUUAAGGAACUAUAGAUCUAUCAGUGACCAAGAGGGAAUGGGGUGGGCAGAAAGCGAGAGAAACUUACAUGUGAUUCAAAAUCAAGUGCAAUUUUGUUUACAAAUGGUGUAUAUUAAAGAUUUUUCUAUUUCAGAUGUGCUUUAAAGAGAAAUACUAACUCUUCUGACAUCUGAUAUUAUGACACAUCCCAUUGCUGGCAAUGUGGUGCACACUCCAAAACUUUUAAGUACCAUUUAGUCAGCCUCCAAGGGCAGCAUUGCAGUCACAGGCCAUGCUUGGUUUCCCUUCAUGCCAUUCUUUGGGAUUACACCAGAUGCCAAGAGGCACUCUGUGUACGUGCUGUGAUUAUUCGCCCUGCAAGAGGGAUUAUCAUGCUUCAGAAGGGGAGCUUACAGAGAGGGGACAGGUCCCGUUGCUUUACAAGCAGGUAUUCUUGCAUGAAGUGGUAUGGAGGCCCUAGACUGCUGCUGCUGCUUUUUUUUUUUUUACAGAUUGAGGGUUCUAGUUUCUGAUGUUGGCUUGGAGACGGCCUAUAACAUCACCAGGGAUGGGUUCACUUGAAGCACUGUAUUUCAGUUUUGAUCGUUUUAUCCAGUUUUGCCUUCCCUAAAUUUUUGUUCUACAUGAAAAGUUCAUGCCACUUUUUAAUAUAAAAAUUUU
rnacentral:lncRNA from 1 species